CUGCAGACUAGGUUGGUGCACUAGCCCUGCACUGUAACUGCAAACGGGCUUUACGGCAGGACCGAAGCCCAAAAAGAGACGUAGCAGAGCUUGUCAGUCCUUGCUUAGACCAUGAUGCUCUGUCCUUAGGGAUUGGUUUUUUCAGGAAACUGGUCAGGAUGGGAACAUAGCAGCCAUAACUGAUUAAACCGGUGCUCAAAGGGUAGCGGAGCUGAGAAAGAGUAAGGGUAAGCUGGCAAUCCCUGUUAUGUCCAUUUUUGGGCGUGUCUGCUU
rnacentral:SRP_RNA from 1 species